AGAAAUGUCGGUGGGGGCCUCGGAAAGAGUUAUCUUUUCUGUUUAACGGCCUGUCCACCCUGGAAACAGCUCAGCCAGAGGUAGGGUCCAGCGGCCGAAAGAGCACCGCACGUCGUGUGGUGUCCGGUGCGCCCUCGGUGGCCCUUGAAAAUCCAGAGGAACGAGUGCCGUCCGCGCCCGGUCGUACUCAUAACCUCAUCAGGUCUCCAAGGUGAACAGCCUCUGGUCAAUGGAACAAUGUAGGCAAGGGAACUCAGCAAUAUGAAUCCAUAACCUCGGGAAAAGGAUUGGCUCUGAGGAUUAGGCACGGGGGUCCCAAUCCCAAACCCGUCGGCUGUCGGUGCACUGUUCGAGCUACUUUCACAGCAAGAGCGGGUCGCCGCGUACCAGCCGGGGGACGAACUAGGAACGACUCCUUCGGGGGCCUUCCCCGGGCGAUGAACAGUCGAGUCAGAAUUGGUACAGACAAGGGGAAUUCAAUUGUUUAAUUAAAACAAAGUAUUACGAUGGUCCCUACGGAUGCUCACGCAAUGUGAUUUCUGCCCAGUGGUCUGAAUGUCAAAGUGAGGAAAUUCAACCAAGCGCGGGUAAACGGUGGGAGUAACUAUGACUCUCUUAAGGUAGCCAAAUGCCUCGUCAUCUAAUUAGUGA
rnacentral:ncRNA from 1 species